UUAAGCGACUAAGCGUACACGGUGGAUGCCCUGGCAGUCAGAGGCGAUGAAGGACGUGCUAAUCUGCGAAAAGCGUCGGUAAGGUGAUAUGAACCGUUAUAGCCGGCGAUGUCCGAAUGGGGAAACCCAGUGUGAUUCGUCACACUAUCGUUAACUGAAUACAUAGGUUAACGAGGCGAACCGGGGGAACUGAAACAUCUAAGUACCCCGAGGAAAAGAAAUCAACCGAGAUUCCCCCAGUAGCGGCGAGCGAACGGGGAGCAGCCCAGAGUCUGAAUCAGCUUGUGUGUUAGUGGAACGGUCUGGAAAGUCCGACGGUACAGGGUGAUAGUCCCGUACACCAAAAUGCACAGGUUGUGAACUCGAAGAGUAGGGCGGGACACGUGGUAUCCUGUCUGAAUAUGGGGGGACCAUCCUCCAAGGCUAAAUACUCCUGACUGACCGAUAGUGAACCAGUACCGUGAGGGAAAGGCGAAAAGAACCCCGGCGAGGGGAGUGAAAAAGAACCUGAAACCGUGUACGUACAAGCAGUGGGAGCACCUUCGGGUGUGACUGCGUACCUUUUGUAUAAUGGGUCAGCGACUUAUAUUCUGUAGCAAGGUUAACCGUAUAGGGGAGCCGCAGGGAAACCGAGUCUUAACUGGGCGUUAAGUUGCAGGGUAUAGACCCGAAACCCGGUGAUCUAGCCAUGGGCAGGUUGAAGGUUGGGUAACACUAACUGGAGGACCGAACCGACUAAUGUUGAAAAAUUAGCGGAUGACUUGUGGCUGGGGGUGAAAGGCCAAUCAAACCGGGAGAUAGCUGGUUCUCCCCGAAAGCUAUUUAGGUAGCGCCUCGUGAAUUCAUCUUCGGGGGUAGAGCACUGUUUCGGCUAGGGGGUCAUCCCGACUUACCAACCCGAUGCAAACUACGAAUACCGAAGAAUGUUAUCACGGGAGACACACGGCGGGUGCUAACGUCCGUCGUGAAGAGGGAAACAACCCAGACCGCCAGCUAAGGUCCCAAAGUCAUGGUUAAGUGGGAAACGAUGUGGGAAGGCACAGACAGCCAGGAUGUUGGCUUAGAAGCAGCCAUCAUUUAAAGAAAGCGUAAUAGCUCACUGGUCGAGUCGGCCUGCGCGGAAGAUGUAACGGGGCUAAACCAUGCACCGAAGCUGCGGCAGCGACACGAUGUGUUGUUGGGUAGGGGAGCGUUCUGUAAGCCUGCGAAGGUGUGCUGUGAGGCAUGCUGGAGGUAUCAGAAGUGCGAAUGCUGACAUAAGUAACGAUAAAGCGGGUGAAAAGCCCGCUCGCCGGAAGACCAAGGGUUCCUGUCCAACGUUAAUCGGGGCAGGGUGAGUCGACCCCUAAGGCGAGGCCGAAAGGCGUAGUCGAUGGGAAACAGGUUAAUAUUCCUGUACUUGGUGUUACUGCGAAGGGGGGACGGAGAAGGCUAUGUUAGCCGGGCGACGGUUGUCCCGGUUUAAGCAUGUAGGCUGGUUAUCCAGGCAAAUCCGGAUAAUCAAGGCUGAGGUGUGAUGACGAGGCACUACGGUGCUGAAGUAACAAAUGCCCUGCUUCCAGGAAAAGCCUCUAAGCAUCAGGUAACAUCAAAUCGUACCCCAAACCGACACAGGUGGUCAGGUAGAGAAUACCAAGGCGCUUGAGAGAACUCGGGUGAAGGAACUAGGCAAAAUGGUGCCGUAACUUCGGGAGAAGGCACGCUGGUGUGUAGGUGAAGUCCCUGCGGAUGGAGCUGAGACCAGUCGAAGAUACCAGCUGGCUGCAACUGUUUAUUAAAAACACAGCACUGUGCAAACACGAAAGUGGACGUAUACGGUGUGACGCCUGCCCGGUGCCGGAAGGUUAAUUGAUGGGGUUAUCCGUAAGGAGAAGCUCUUGAUCGAAGCCCCGGUAAACGGCGGCCGUAACUAUAACGGUCCUAAGGUAGCGAAAUUCCUUGUCGGGUAAGUUCCGACCUGCACGAAUGGCGUAAUGAUGGCCAGGCUGUCUCCACCCGAGACUCAGUGAAAUUGAACUCGCUGUGAAGAUGCAGUGUACCCGCGGCAAGACGGAAAGACCCCGUGAACCUUUACUAUAGCUUGACACUGAACAUUGAGCCUUGAUGUGUAGGAUAGGUGGGAGGCUUUGAAGCGUGGACGCCAGUCUGCGUGGAGCCAACCUUGAAAUACCACCCUUUAAUGUUUGAUGUUCUAACGUUGGCCCCUGACCGGGGUUGCGGACAGUGUCUGGUGGGUAGUUUGACUGGGGCGGUCUCCUCCCAAAGCGUAACGGAGGAGCACGAAGGUUAGCUAAUCCUGGUCGGACAUCAGGAGGUUAGUGCAAUGGCAUAAGCUAGCUUGACUGCGAGCGUGACGGCGCGAGCAGGUGCGAAAGCAGGUCAUAGUGAUCCGGUGGUUCUGAAUGGAAGGGCCAUCGCUCAACGGAUAAAAGGUACUCCGGGGAUAACAGGCUGAUACCGCCCAAGAGUUCAUAUCGACGGCGGUGUUUGGCACCUCGAUGUCGGCUCAUCACAUCCUGGGGCUGAAGUAGGUCCCAAGGGUAUGGCUGUUCGCCAUUUAAAGUGGUACGCGAGCUGGGUUUAGAACGUCGUGAGACAGUUCGGUCCCUAUCUGCCGUGGGCGCUGGAGAAUUGAGGGGGGCUGCUCCUAGUACGAGAGGACCGGAGUGGACGCAUCACUGGUGUUCGGGUUGUCAUGCCAAUGGCACUGCCCGGUAGCUAAAUGCGGAAGAGAUAAGUGCUGAAAGCAUCUAAGCACGAAACUUGCCCCGAGAUGAGUUCUCCCUGAGACUUUAAGUCUCCUGAAGGAACGUUAAAGACGAUGACGUUGAUAGGCCGGGUGUGUAAGCGCAGCGAUGCGUUGAGCUAACCGGUACUAAUGAACCGUGAGGCUUAACCUU
rnacentral:rRNA from 1 species